UGGAUGACGGUAGAAAAAGACAAAUUAUUACAGAACUUCGGCAUGAUUGCUGAGUUUAAAUAGGUAAAGCUGUCUGCUGUGUCUGUAGGUUGUAACUUUUUGGACUAUGA
ensembl:miRNA gga-mir-6639 gga-mir-6639